rnacentral:misc_RNA from 1 species
GAUGAAGAACGUAGCGAAAUGCGAUAACUAAUGUGAAUUGCAGAAUUCAGUGAAUCAUCGAGUCUUUGAACGCACAUUGCGCCCCCUGGUAUUCCGGGGGGCAUGCCUGUCCGAGCGUCAUUGCUGCCCUCAAGCACGGCUUGUGUGUUGGGCCUCCGUCCUCCUCCCGGGGGACGGGCCCGAAAGGCAGCGGCGGCACCGCGUCCGGUCCUCGAGCGUAUGGGGCUUCGUCACCCGCUCUUGUAGGCCCGGCCGGCGCUUGCCGACACAUCAAUCUUUUUUCCAGGUUGACCUCGGAUCAGGUAGGGAUACCCGCUGAACUUAAGCAUAUCAAUAAGCGGAGA